AUUGAACGCUGGCGGCAGGCCUAACACAUGCAAGUCGAGCGAGCGGCGGACGGGUAAGGAAUGUCUGGGAAACUGCCUGAUGGAGGGGGAUAACGGCUGGAAACGGUAGCUAAUACCGCAUACCAUCAGAUGUGCCCAGGUGUGAUUAGCUAGUAGGUGGGGUAACGGCUCACCAAGGCGACGAUCCCUAGCGGGGCUGAGAGGAUGACCAGCCACACUGGAACUGAGACACGGUCCAGACUCCUACGGGAGGCAGCAGUGGGGAAUAUUGGACAAUGGGCGCAAGCCUGAUGCAGCCAUGCCGCGUGUGUGAAGAAGGCCUUCGGGUUGUAAAGCACUUUCAGCGGGGAGGCUUUACCCGCAGAAGAAGCACCGGCUAACUCCGUGCCAGCAGCCGCGGUAAUAC
rnacentral:rRNA from 1 species